rnacentral:lncRNA from 1 species
CUGUCUGCACGUGUCCUGGAAAGCGGUGUCGGCUUGCAGGAGCCCCAGGGCUUUUAGAAGCGGGCCAGGCCACUGCUCUUUCAAAGGAGGAGGGAGGCAGAGGGCUCACGGAUCAGUGAAUUUUCCGCUGACACCAGGCCUUGAGGGCCAUGGGAUCAUUCUGUGCUGCAGCGAGGCCCUGCCUGCCUCAGCAGAUGUGGUGAGCCCA